GACGAACGCUGGCGGCGUGCUUAACACAUGCAAGUCGAACGGACAGGCCCUGCUUUUGUGGGGUGCUCGAUUGGCGAACGCGUGAGUAACACGUGAGUAUCCUGCCCUUGACUUUGGGAUAUCAUCAGGAAACUGCGGCUAAUACCCCAUAGGAGCUCCUGCUGCAUGGUGGUGUUUGGAAAGUUUCGGCGGUUGUGGCUGUACUGGCUGCUUAUGAGCUUGUUGGUGGGGUAGUUGCUUACCAAGGGUUUGACGGGUAGCCGGCCUGGGAGGGUGACCGGCGACAUUGGGACUGAGAUACGGACCAGACUCCUACGGGAGGCAGCAGGGGGGAAUAUUGCACAAUGGGCGGAAGCCUGAUGCAGCAACGCCGCGUGUGGGAUGACGGCCUUCGGGUUGUAAACCGCUUUCGCCUGUGACGAAGAGUGAGUGACGGUAAUGGGUAAAGAAGCACCGGCUAACUACGUG
rnacentral:rRNA from 1 species